UCUGCAACCCGACUCCAUGAAGCUGGAUUCGCUAGUAAUCGCGCAUCAGCCACGGCGCGGUGAAUACGUUCCCGGGCCCUUGUACACACCGCCCGUCAAGCCAUGGAAGCCGGGAGUGCCUGAAGUGCGUGAGCGCAAGCAGCGCCCUAAGGUAAAACCGGUGACUGGGGCUAAGUCGUAACAAGGUAAC
rnacentral:rRNA from 1 species